CGGCUAACUCCGUGCCAGCAGCCGCGGUAAUACGGAGGGUGCGAGCGUUAAUCGGAAUUACUGGGCGUAAAUGGCACGCAGGCGGUUAAUUAAGUUGGAUGUGAAAUCCCCGGGCUUAACCUGGAAAUGGCAUUCAAGACUGGUUAGCUAGAGUCUGGUAAGGGGGGGUAGAAUUCCAUGUGUAGCGGUGAAAUGGGUAGAGAUAUGGAGGAAUACCGGUGGCAAAGGCGGCCCCCUGGACAAAGACUGACGCUCAUGUGCGAAAGCGUGGGGAGCAAACAGGAUUAGAUACCCUGGUAGUCCACGCUGUAAACGAUGUCGAUUUGGAGGUUGUGGUCAUGAACUGUGGCCUCCGGAGCUAACGCGUUAAAUCGACCGCCUGGGGAGUACGGCCGCAAGGCUAAAACUCAAAUGAAUUGACGGGGGCCCGCACAAGCGGUGGAGCAUGUGGUUUAAUUCGAUGCAACGCGAAGAACCUUACCUACUCUUGACAUCCAGCGAAUCCUUUAGAGAUAGAGGAGUGCCUUCGGGAGCGCUGAGACAGGUGCUGCAUGGCUGUCGUCAGCUCGUGUUGUGAAAUGUUGGGUUAAGUCCCGCAACGAGCGCAACCCUUAUCCUUUGUUGCCAGCG
rnacentral:rRNA from 1 species